GCUUGGCAAUCACUCGAACGGGGGAUGCGCACCGCUCGCUCGCUCGCUCAGCCGUGGGCUGGGCCAUGCCCCCCUCCCUCCUACACGAGGAGGAGGGUGGCACGGCCGCGCCCAGCCGCGACUCCGCCGUCUUCAGCUGCCCGCGUCUCUUCCUGCACCCCCCCCUGCUGCCGCUGCUGCUGCUGCCGCCGCUGCUGCUUCUCAUCGCCACGGCCGCAGUCAUCUUCUUGUCCGCGUCUCGACCGAUCGAUCGCGACGACGCCGACGCCGCCGUCGUGGGCAUGGCGCAGCUGUACGUGACGAGCAGGGUGCGAGCGGGCAAGGUGGUGGUGUUCGUGAAGCGCGGCUGCCCCUUCUGCACGGCGGCCGAGGCGGUGCUGUCCAAGUACCGCUUCAGAGUGGGCGCCCUGGAGGUGCACGACAUCGGCAGCGAGCAGGCGGUGGCGCAGAUUCAGGACUUCUUCCUCCGCACCACCGGGGAGAGAACGGUGCCGCGCGUGUACAUCGGGGAGAAGUGCAUCGGCGGCGGCUCGGACACGGAGGCGUUGGAGCGCAGAGGCCUGCUGGAGGGCAUGCUGCAGGAAAUAGGCGUCCUGCAAUGAAGGGAGCAGGCACGGGUGUGGGAGCAGGCACGGGUGUGUGAGCAGGCACGGGGGUCUUGGACGAACGCUGCGGAUGUUUGAGUCCAACCAGCAUCCGCUGCUGUCGCCCUGAGAAGGUGGUGGAACGGAAGAGAGGAGCUACAACUUUGGAAACUUGGGAAACACCGCACGUUCACUCCCUUUGUGACUCUUACUACGUGGGACUCUUGACUACUUUCGCGCGCGGCUGUGCUGCUGUACGGCUCUCCGGUGCGUUUUCUCGUCAUUUGGGCUGUUGUUUCGCCACGACGUCCGACGUUCCGCCGCAUGUGUCCGGGUGGGAGCUUGCAACGUGCGGAGCGAGAUGUCCAACGUUUCCCAGCACUGUGGAGCGAAACGUCGGACGAUAUGCUGAAUGACUUGUGAGCAGCAACUCCGAACACAACAUCGGAGGCCCUUGCAAUUAGCUUGGCGCGCCAGCUCAAAUUGGUUGGGAGUUUGAAACGCGGUAGUUUUGUCGGAUUUACACAAAACGUAGUGUCUCGCAAGAUAAUUCCUGGCAUAAUAACAGUGAUUCAGUUUUCAAAUUAAAGGCACUUUUUUGCACUCGCGAAACAUGCAACAAGUCGUACGAGUAAAAUCAAUUGUUAUCUGUUCUUGCAAAUUGUACAAACGUUUUUUGCGUUCGGCUUAACCGGAGAGAUAAAACACAACGGGGACACUACGGGCGGGGACAUCUGAGACGCGACAAACGAGGCGGUGCGAGUGAGACGGUGCUGGUGCGAGUGAGACAACGGGGCAAGUGGGAUGGCACAGCAAAUGAUAGACAAUGACCAACAUUAUGGCCGCAACCAAGGCAGACGGUGCAAAUGAGAGGGUACGAAAGAAACAAUGUUUUUAUUCAACCUUGUUUUAAACCGCGAUGGUGUGACUCGUGACAAAAUUGAUUGAAAGUAAAACCAAAAAAUCCCAUGACUUACUGGGGUACGAGUCAUUGUAUGCCUGAAGAAUUGCGGUUUGUUUCUGCUUUCUACCACUGCCUUCAUGCAUUGCCUUGGAGCAGAGGAACUCGUGCUUCUGGCCUUGGCUGCCCAAAACAAAACGGAUGCUAACCGGUGCAAAGGAGGUGGUACAGGCAAGGCUGGGAUGGUGGGGAAGGGGACGGGUGGAGUUUGCAGGAACUAAAUUUCAGUGAAAGGAUAAAAAAACAACACAUCGGAGAGUCUUAAAGAACAACCCGCGAAAACACUCGGGUUUCCCUUGCUCUGCGCAGUCGUAGUAGAUGAUGCGUUACAAGAACGUUGCGCACAAAGGCGAAACCGCACGAGACAGCCGCCUGCCGGGUGGCGCGCACGACGGACGCACACUGUGCUACGUCCGACCGCACAACCGCAUCCGAGUAAAUUAAAACCGCAAAAUGUAGCAAAUUUUUUGGUAGGAAUUGGUUGGCCGCGCAUAAUACACUCAGUGUCAAAUCGCUCAAAACGAACCCACAGAGCAAAUGCGCGUGUCGUCAAUCCCCCUCCACUUGAAUUAAUAAGGUUGUCACGCGGUUACCGCAUCAGCGGGCGUGCAGUUGUACUUGUCUGGCAAGGCACUUGGCGAGCAUCUGGUGAUGGGUGGGUUUGAACAAAUUGUCUUUUCUUAAAUCUAAAAAGGUCAUCUCAACAGUUGUAUCUGACCUACGUGUGUCAACGUGAAUUUUAUUAUUUUAAUUGGCCCUGUUCACGUUAUUUCAAAUUGUCUUACAUUAAAAAAAAGAUGUUGCUAUUGAAAAGAAAAAAACGUAGCUUCAUCAUCAUUGAAUGUUUACAUUUAACAUCCGGUACUUCAAUGAAUUAACGCGUUGGGUAUUUUUGUCGUCUUGUUAAAUUAUUUUUUUAAAUGUGGUGUGAUUGUAUUGUUCAUGUUAAGCCCAAUGUGUGUCCAAUGAUGCAGGGAUUUAAAUUACACAUUAUUGAAAGUUCAGAUAUACCAUGUGCACUGUCAUCAUCAUCGUCAUCGGGCCAUGAUCAGUCAAUUGCUGUAUGAAGACCUCACCCAAACCGUCGCUAUCUCUCGUGAUCCUACGUUGUAAUGUUCCAUAACAGCACCCCAUAUAUACGCCAAUUUCAUUGCUCCAUCUCUUCUAUGGACGUGACCUUAGACGCGUUCCUUGGCUGCCGGCCACGAUCAUUCUCCUUCCAGAGACCUCAAAUUCCAAGACUCCUAGUAUGUAUUGCACUGUAUUGUCCAAUAACAGCAUGUAUGCAAUGUUUAAGCGACAAAUUCUGCAUGAAGGAAUUUUAGGACGAACAGAAAUGGUCUGUCGCAUCAAUUACUGUUGUGAUGUAAAUUGUGGAGAUUGUUUAAAACGGAACCUUAAGAGUGGUCCAUAUGUCUUGUGACAGCAAAAUUAAUUGACCCUCAAAUUUAGUUUCACCUUUGCAUAUUAAUUUCUGUUUUAAAAACGUCUGUUUUAAAUAAACCUUCGUUUAAAAAAAAGAAUAAAAAAGUUUUAUAUCAUUAAUUGGGGGGGGGGGUCACAAGACAUCUGGACCACAAUGUACCGCGCCCGUAACAAGGGCGUAGGUUUUGUUUCUCGUCGUAAAGUUCUCCGAUGUACUUUCUGCUCCUACCGCAUGUUGUUCGGCACGAAAGCUGAAGCUGCCAGCACGUGGAGCGAAACGUCGGACACCAUGGCAAACAAAAAAAUGCGCGCUAAUAAGCUCCCCCCCCCCCCCCGAAUAAAAACUAUUGACUAUCACACGCUGUGUGACGAAUUCAAGGUUGUUGCUACGAUGUGGCAACAAUCUGGGCAGGGUUUACUCCACAUGAACUGCUUUAGGGCCCCUCCAUUCCACGGCGUACACUGAUGUAACCCAGUGGAUGAAUUGGAUUUCUAAUGAGAAGAUAAUGAUUCAAGCAGCGGUGAUGUAAUCCAUCGAGAUCCAACUCUACCUCGAAUCCCAGUCUCUAACGGCACAGGCUUAAUAAAUAAAAUGUUUAGAGUGCGCCUGCCUCCUGUGCGGUACAUCGAAAAGACGCCAAAGCAAAGUGGCAUUGGAGAUUAAUUUUUCGGUAGCUAUUGCAGGCCACGUAAGACGUUCAACAUCAAUACAGUAUCAACACUACACAACAAGCAUUGAAGGAGCAAGUGUAUUUGUGACGAUCCAGAAUCUUAUGGCUACAGUUGGUACCUAUCCUGGGUUUCCCUAGGGAAUCCUCUUCAUGAGGUUGCCAUUUUGUGACAUCUGAAGUCUCCCCACAUCAUUUAAAGUAAAUUUUUUGUCACUGGCAUAACAACACAUCGCCGCGCAAGACGAUGCACUUACUUUUUACUGCAGUUCCCACCUCGUCCCGUGUUGUGAGAUCAUCUUCCCGUGACAUCUGCGGUGUUUUAAAAAAAAAUAUAUGCCUUAAUGGUGGCAACCGUA